UACGUAGGGGGGCUAGCGUUGUCCGGAUUUUAUUUGGGCGUAAAGAGCGUGUAGGCGGCCAGGUAGGUCUGCUGUGAAAACUCGAGGCUCAACCUCGAGAUGUCGGCGGAAACCAUCUGGCUAGAGUCCGGAAGAGGAAAGUGGAAUUCCUGGUGUAGCGGUGAAAUGCGCAGAUAUCAGGAAGAACACCCUGGCGAAGGCGGCUUUCUGGGACGGUACUGACGCUGGAGAACAGAAAAGCGUGGGGUAG
rnacentral:rRNA from 1 species